GACGAACGCUGGCGGCGUGCCUAAUACAUGCAAGUAGAACGCACAGUUUAUACCGUAGCUUGCUACACCAUAGACUGUGAGUUGCGAACGGGUGAGUAACGCGUAGGUAACCUGCCUGGUAGCGGGGGAUAACUAUUGGAAACGAUAGCUAAUACCGCAUAAUAUUAAUUAUUGCAUGAUAAUUAAUUGAAAGGUGCAAUUGCACCACUACCAGAUGGGCCUGCGUUGUAUUAGCUAGUAGGUGAGGUAACGGCUCACCUAGGCGACGAUACAUAGCCGACCUGAGAGGUGGGUCGGCCACCCUGGGACGGAGACCCGGCCCAGACUCCUACGGGAGGCAGCAGGAGGGAAUCUUCGGCAAUGGACGAAAGUCUUACCGAGCAACGCCGCGUGAGUGAAGAAGGUUUUCGGAUCGUAAAGCUCUGUUGUAAGAGAAGAACGGGUGUGAGAGUGGAAAGUUCACACUGUGACGGUAUCUUACCAGAAAGGGACGGCUAACUACGUG
rnacentral:rRNA from 1 species